rnacentral:rRNA from 1 species
GAUGAACGCUGGCGGCGUGCCUAACACAUGCAAGUCGAGCGAUUCUCUUCGGAGAAGAGCGGCGGACGGGUGAGUAACGCGUGGGUAACCUGCCCUGUACACACGGAUAACAUACCGAAAGGUAUGCUAAUACGAGAUAAUAUACUUUUAUCGCAUGGUAGAAGUAUCAAAGCUUUUGCGGUACAGGAUGGACCCGCGUCUGAUUAGGUAGUUGGUAAGGUAACGGCUUACCAAGGCGACGAUCAGUAGCCGACCUGAGAGGGUGAUCGGCCACAGUGGAACUGAGACACGGUCCAAACUCCUACGGGAGGCAGCAGUGGGGAAUAUUGCACAAUGGGCGAAAGCCUGAUGCAGCAACGCCGCGUGAGCGAUGAAGGCCUUCGGGUCGUAAAGCUCUGUCCUCAAGGAAGAUAAUGACGGUACUUGAGGAGGAAGCCCCGGCUAACUACGUGCCAGCCGCCGCAGUAA